GACGAACGCUGGCGGCGUGCUUAACACAUGCAAGUCGAACGCUGAAGCUUGGUGCUUGCACUGGGUGGAUGAGUGGCGAACGGGUGAGUAAUACGUGAGUAACCUGCCCUUGACUCUGGGAUAAGCCUGGGAAACUGGGUCUAAUACUGGAUAUGACAUGCCACUGCAUGGAGGUGUGUGGAAAGGGUUUUACUGGUUUUGGAUGGGCUCACGGCCUAUCAGCUUGUUGGUGGGGUAAUGGCCUACCAAGGCGACGACGGGUAGCCGGCCUGAGAGGGUGACCGGCCACACUGGGACUGAGACACGGCCCAGACUCCUACGGGAGGCAGCAGUGGGGAAUAUUGCACAAUGGGCGGAAGCCUGAUGCAGCGACGCCGCGUGAGGGAUGACGGCCUUCGGGUGGUAAACCUCUUUCAGCACGGAAGAAGCGAGAGUGACGGUACGUGCAGAAGAAGCGCCGGCUAACUACGG
rnacentral:rRNA from 1 species